rnacentral:rRNA from 1 species
GACGAACGCUGGCGGCGUGCUUAACACAUGCAAGUCGAACGGAAAGGCCCUGCUUUUGUGGGGUGCUCGAGUGGCGAACGGGUGAGUAACACGUGAGUAACCUGCCCUUGACUUUGGGAUAACUUCAGGAAACUGGGGCUAAUACCGGAUAGGAGCUCCUGCUGCAUGGUGGGGGUUGGAAAGUUUCGGCGGAUGGGGAUGGAUUCGCGGCUUAUCAGCUUGUUGGUGGGGUAGUGGCUUACCAAGGCAUUGACGGGUAGCCGGCCUGAGAGGGUGACCGGCGACAUUGGGACUGAGAUACGGCCCAGACUCCUACGGGAGGCAGCAGUGGGGAAUAUUGCACAGUGGGCGGAAGCCUGAUGCAGCAACGCCGCGUGCGGGAUGACGGCCUUCGGGUUGUAAACCGCUUUCGCCUGUGACGAAGCGUGAGUGACGGUAAUGGGUAAAGAAGCACCGGCUAACUACGUG